rnacentral:rRNA from 1 species
CAGUCGAGCGGAUGAGGGGUGCUUGCAUCCCGAUUCAGCGGCGGACGGGUGAGUAAUGCCUAGGAAUCUGCCCGAUAGUGGGGGACAACGUUUCGAAAGGAACGCUAAUACCGCAUACGUCCUACGGGAGAAAGUGGGGGCUCUUCGGACCUCACGCUAUCGGAUGAGCCUAGGUCGGAUUAGCUAGUUGGUGGGGUAAAGGCUCACCAAGGCGACGAUCCGUAACUGGUCUGAGAGGAUGAUCAGUCACACUGGAACUGAGACACGGUCCAGACUCCUACGGGAGG